GUUUUGAACCUAGGACACAUUGAUAGAGACCCAACACACUAUUCAAUAGGAUAUGGACCACAUGCACUCUUGUUUUUAUAUUAAACAUGCAUUGUGUUUUUUUUUCUUCAUAAAAAAUGGGGAUAACGGGUGGCAACUAUGGUUAUCCACUCUUCUUGGGCCCAAAGAGGCUAUGAGAAAUUUCACCUUGUCUGUGGCCACAACAUGCAUUGUGUUUGAUUUAGGAUUAUUUUAAAUUUAGUAGGAUGUCCAAAGAAAGUUACAAAAUUUAGAAGGGUGUCUAAAGAAAUGGAUGUCUAUAGACGACAAUCAGGUAUAAACAAAAUUUUCCUUCAAGAGAUUCUAAGUGAAAAGCCCAAACAAGAAAUUUAAGAAAAAAAAAAAAAGGUUCUUUAGAUAUAAUUUCUUGACAAAAACUCAUCUCAUUUUAAACAUCCAAAUAAAACCCAAAUUUGAAGUAGACUGCCAUGUAAACAAAUAAAUACCUAUUAUUUUCAAACUAUUUACAAUUGUGCCACAACACUCUAAUUAUGCUAAUGACUUUAAUUAUCCACCAUAAUUGUGGGAAAUAAGGGCCUUAUUAUUAUAAAAUUAUGUUCCUUAUACUUCUCUUAACAUCAUAUGUUUCAUUUCUUUUAUUUGUUUGACAAUCAUUGUAGGUAAAUUAUUUUGCAUGUAUGUAUUAGGCACAUUUUGUUAAAAUUAUAUAUAUGCGUGCAAAUAAUUUAUCUAUAUUUUUAUGUAAAAUAAUAUGUAAUUAAUUAUUUUUGAAUCAAUUGGCUAAAAACAUUUUUUUUUUAGGUAAAUUAUUUUUCAUGUGAUAUUACAUAUAUACUAGCCACAUUUUGUUAUUAUUAUAUAGAGUGUGCAAUCAAUCGACAUUCUUUUAUUUUGUGGGUAAAUUAUUUUGCAUGUAGGUAAAUUGUUAUAUAUAUUGCAAAAUAUU
rnacentral:lncRNA from 1 species